GACGAACGCUGGCGGCGUGCCUAAUACAUGCAAGUUGAGCGCUGAAGGUUGGUACUUGUACCAACUGGAUGAGCAGCGAACGGGUGAGUAACGCGUGGGGAAUCUGCCUUUGAGCGGGGGACAACAUUUGGAAACGAAUGCUAAUACCGCAUAAAAACUUUAAACACAAGUUUUAAGUUUGAAAGAUGCAAUUGCAUCACUCAAAGAUGAUCCCGCGUUGUAUUAGCUAGUUGGUGAGGUAAAGGCUCACCAAGGCGAUGAUACAUAGCCGACCUGAGAGGGUGAUCGGCCACAUUGGGACUGAGGCACGGCCCAAACGCCUACGGGAGGCAGCAGUAGGGAAUCUUCGGCAAUGGACGAAAGUCUGACCGAGCAACGCCGAGUGAGUGAAGAAGGUUGUCGGAUCGUAAAACUCUAUUGGUAGAGAAGAACGUUGGUGAGAGUGGGAAGCUCAUCAAGUGACGGUAACUACCCAGAAGGGGACGGCUAACUACGUG
rnacentral:rRNA from 1 species